rnacentral:rRNA from 1 species
AUGAUGGCAAGAAGGACACACCUGUUCCCAUGCCGAACACAGCAGUUAAGCUUCUUAGCGCCGAUGGUAGUUGGGUCUUUGACCCUGUGAGAGUAGGACGUUGCCACGC